rnacentral:sRNA from 1 species
GAUUGGCGGUGAUGACCCAAUGAAAUUCAAGCUCAACAGACCGGAUUGUAGGCUUCUCUUUUCAGAGAAUGUUUGCGUGUCGACAACCCCGCUGAACUGAGCCUUCUCUUUCUCUUCUUUUCUUCUCAAUUUUAAUAUUUAUUUCUCCAAAAACAAUUUAUGAUUUGGUUUUUUUUUAAAUUUGUUUUUAAUUAUUUUGUUUAGUUUUAUAAAAUUUCGGUGGGAAAUUAAAGAAAAGGUGGGAUUGCUAUGAGGAUACCAAGCUCCCUCUUCUGAGUAAGGUUGAGGAAACUUGCCGGCAGAAUCGAACCUAAUAUUUAUUAGCCACCACUGAGUAUUUCUCCCCUUUUUUCCCACUUUAAUUUUUUUUUUUAAAUAUUUUUUUUUUAAAUUUCGAUCUUUUUAUUAUGUUUUAAUUGUGAAUUUAGUUGUGGGAAUGAUGGAUUGGGAUGAAGAAAUCAAAUUAUCCAACACUUGAUCUGAGAUAUUUGUUAUCGAGUGAUGUUAAUUGAUAUACUUCUGAAUCUGAAUUAAAUAUUAAUUAAGAUUUAUUGUAUGUUAUAUUUGUGAUUGUUCUGAUGGUUUGAAAAUAAAAAUUGUUCAGGUGAUGAAAAAUGGAAUAAUCUUAGGACACCUUCCUACACAGCGAAAAUCUUGCUGUGGAUGAGAACAACUUUCCAUUCUGAUGAUGAU